CCUACGGGUGGCAGCAGUGGGGAAUAUUGCACAAUGGGGGAAACCCUGAUGCAGCGACGCCGCGUGAGUGAAGAAGUAUUUCGGUAUGUAAAGCUCUAUCAGCAGGGAAGAAAAUGACGGUACCUGACUAAGAAGCCCCGGCUAACUACGUGCCAGCAGCCGCGGUAAUACGUAGGGGGCAAGCGUUAUCCGGAUUUACUGGGUGUAAAGGGAGCGUAGACGGCCAGACAAGUCAGAAGUGAAAGCCCAGGGCUCAACCCUGGGACUGCUUUUGAAACUGCCGGGCUGGAGUGCAGGAGAGGUAAGCGGAAUUCCUAGUGUAGCGGUGAAAUGCUUAGAUAUCACGAAGAACUCCGAUUGCGAAGGCAGCUUACUAAACUGCCACUGACAUUGAUGCUCGAAAGUGUGGGUAUCAAACAGGAUUAGAUACCCUUGUAGUC
rnacentral:rRNA from 1 species